UCGUGGGGUGACCUGUCUGCCUGAUCGCGAUAACGAACGAGACCUUAUCCUGCUAAAUAGCCCGUAUUGCUUUGGCAGUACGCUGGCUUCUUAGAGGGACUAUCGGCGUAAGCCGAUGGAAGUUUGAGGCAAUAACA
rnacentral:rRNA from 1 species